UGCAUGUAGCGGAGAAUAGUAUACUUGUGAAUGUAGAUUGUAGUUAUUGAUCUCCAGUGGCGGAGACAUUAGGAAUUUCGUUGUUAAUCAUUUGUUCCCGUUUGCUACUGUUUUUACGCAAGCAACUGUUUUGCUAGGUUAGUAGGUUACUUAUUAUAGGAUCCAGUCAUCAAUUUAAGGGCUGUAAGCGGCCUGCCAUGUUUGUCAAUGUAGGGAACGUCUAUGUUGGUUUAUCUGAGGAAUUUUUGGAGGUCUUUAGGUCAGAGCCGGUAUCUUCAAAACCGAUAAUAACGUUGAAAAUCCUUCCUUUUGAUCACCGACCGUUGUGGCACUCCCAUGUUUGAGGAAAUCGUUAAAUCCUUAAUUAUUGGAAAUUUGUCAGUACUCCAGUCUUCUGGGUUAAUUACGAAAAGCGAUAGUAAUUGGUAUUGCCGUGUAUCAUUGUGGAUACGUUUAUUUUGGGCAAUUCUUCACCUUUAGUGUGGUUUUGUUAUCGCUUAACGUUCUGAGGCUGACUGGAUUGGGAAAAAACCCUGUACGUGUAUUGCACUGCUUAUUGGUUGAAAUUGUUCAACGUAGGGAUAUUUCCGAAAAUUGUACAGGGUUUUUUUUUGUAUUAUUUGUCUAAUUUAAUAAAUUACCUUCAAACUGGGAAUCGGUAAAUGGAAUGCAUAUGUUUGGCUUGGCUGUGAUUGUUGAAGAUUGUUUACCUGCGAGUG